GAUAACAAGUGAAUUAUAGUUCAUAUAAUAGCAGAGAUAAGGUCUGCAAGUUUCUACCGGACUGCCGUAAAUCGUCCGACUAUGAGCGAAGUGUCGAGGUAU
rnacentral:ncRNA from 2 species